CUGCCCCAGUCCCACGUUGCUCCUGAGGCCAAAGUGCAGUGUGGAGAGUGGGACGUGGAUCUGGAGCAGUCCCCAGGGGUGUGGAGCUGGUGGUAGCUGUGUUCCAGGGCUGGGAAAGGGGUCACUGGAUGAGGAAGUGGCCAGCCAGACCUGGGCUCUAGUCCCAGCCUGGGAUCUGUGGAGUCAGGUUCCCCCAGCAGGAUGGCGAGUGCACUGAAGAAGCACCUUGAAUUGCUGAGCGUGGUUCAAUGGGUUCUGACCUUCCUCUUCUUCGGAGCUUUCUUCACGUCCUUGCUGCUCUGCCUGCUUUUCACCCGCCUCUGGGCCA